AUACGGAGGGUGCAAGCGUUGUUCGGAAUUACUGGGCGUAAAGCGCGUGCAGGCGGUAAGGUAAGUCAGAUGUGAAAGCCCCGGGCUCAACCCGGGAAGUGCAUUUGAUACUGCCUUUCUUGAGUAUGGGAGAGGAGAGUGGAAUUCCCAGUGUAGAGGUGAAAUUCGUAGAUAUUGGGGGGAACACCCGUGGCGAAGGCGACUCUCUGGACCACUACUGACGCUGAGACGCGAAAGCGUGGGGAGCGAACAGGAUUAGAAACCCCGGUAGUCC
rnacentral:rRNA from 1 species